UAAGCGUAAAGAUGAUGGCGUAAGCUUAGUCUAGCUUAGAUGAUUAAGAAUCAUC
rnacentral:ncRNA from 1 species